rnacentral:lncRNA from 10 species
AUGUGAGCCACUCCACCUUGCUUCCAGCUAAUUUUUGUAUUUUUUGGUGGAGAUAGGGGCUCAACAUGUUGCCCAGGCUGGUCUCGAACUCCUGACCUCAUGUGAUCCGCCCACCUCAGCCUACCAGAGUGCUGGGAUUACAAACGUGAGCCACCAUGCCUGGCCCCAGAUAAUUUUUAAUUUGGCAAGUCACCACCAUACAAAAAAAUGAGGUUUUAAUUAGUCUUACAGUGGAUUUUCAGACAAACUUAUAGAAAAUUACACAAAGGAUUUUAGUGGUUAGAAAGUAACAGCCUUUUUUUCCCCUUAGAAAGUAUCUCAAAAUUUACAACCUCUACCACAUACUUCAUGCCAAGAAAAUUAGUAUUGCUGUCUCAUGAGCUAAAAAGACCACAGAGAAAGAGAAAAGCUUUCUGUAGUAACAAUAAAUGAUAUGAACCUCUGUAUCUUUCAGAGAAAAGGAAAGAUACUUGCUAUGGACUGAAUGUUUGUGUUUCCCCCAAAUUCCCAGGUUGAAAUCCUAACCCCUAAGGGGAUGGUCUUAGGUGAGGCCUUUUGGGAGGUGAUGAGGUGAUGAGGGUGGGGCCCUCUUAUUGGAUUAGUGCCCUUACAAGAAGAGAAGUGAGAGAGAUGUUCGCUGUCUCUGCCACGCCAGGAUGCAGCAAGAAGGCAGCCCUCCACAAGCCCAGGAAGAGAGCACUCUCCAGGAGCCAGUUCAGCUGGCGCCAGCUCUCAGAGUUCCCAGCCUCCAGAACUGUGAGAAAUAAGAUUCUGUUUUUUAAGCCACCCUGUCUAUGGUAUUUUUGUUACGGCAGCCUGAACUUAGUACCUGAAGGAUGUAAAGAGAAAGAUUAGCUAAUUUUAAGAUCAUUUAAGGCUAUUUCUAGUCACUUUCUUUCUCAUACCAAAAAUCUCACAGAAAUAAUUUAAACCACAAACAAGAACCAAAAUUGUAAGAACAAGGACAUGAAAUCACAUCACUUCUAAGUGAUCAGGUCGUGUGGGUCAGUGAGAACACCCUGGGCUGGGCAGAUUCGGAGGCUGCCAUUUGUCUUUUCCCUCUGCUGCAGAAGCACAUCAGUUACUCAAGGCCAUUUUCAAAGCACCUCACCUGAGCAGCAGCAACAAACUCAAAUCCCUGUCGAAAAACACAGCAGAGCCUCCAGCCAUGGGGAGCACUGGCUUGUGAGGAUACUGAGGGCCCCUGCAGGUUCCAGAACUCCACUGCCCACCUGUGCAGGGCCAGGCCAGGGGACACUGCCACACAGCACCAAGUGCUCUAGCAGGGACAGGCAAGAGGCACUCAGACAGGUUGAGCCCCCGACACCUGACAGGUACAGCAGGCAACAGUGACCUAGAACCUAGAGGAGAUGUCCACUGAGCUGGGUCAAGUGGUGAGUGGCUCAGAGAAGAGGAAGAGAAACAGUGAUCCCAAGGACAGACACCCGUGGGGGACCAGAGACACAGCAGGGCCCCAAAUACAGAGAGAAAGGGCUUGUGGACUUGGGGCAGAAUCCACAGAAGGAGCUUGGGCAGGAGAGAUGACCAGAUUUGCCUUCUGGAGCCCACUUAUGUCCGUGAGGGCCACAGCAGAAAAGGGAGAAGAGGAGGCAGGCAGGGCUCUCCCAGAACUGAGGAGACCCUGAAACUGUCUAGGUAAUGUGAAGGGGGUCUGGACAGCCAGGAGAACUGCACGAAGACAGAAGCUGCCAGUGAGUGGCUGCUCAGAGGAGGGGCAGGGAUCGGGGAGAGUCUAGGAGCUGCAAGUGAGUGGCUGCUCAGAGGCGGGGCAGGGAGGUGGGGAGAGUUUAGGAGCUGGAAGCUACAGCUGGGGAGGUGCUCACAACCUCCAUCGAGGCAGGUGAGUUGGAGGGAAAGUGAUCCAUCCUGCCUGUGUGGAGCUUGGCGUGUCUGUGGGAAAAUCUAGAGGCUCAGUAGGUGAACUGGGACCCAGGAGAGAGACGUUAGCUGAGAACAAACUUCAGAGUCAUGCUGGGGCCCGGCACUGUCACGGCGGAUGGUGCCAGGUCCUUGAACACCAACAUCUAAAGGGCCAGGGGAAGAGUUGAGGGCAAUCGAGAAGAGAGUGACCAGAGACUUGGGGAGAGCGUCCAGAGGAGCUGCACCACCCAGGGCCAUGGAGGAGUGAGAGGGAAGCCAGGGAGCCCUAAUGACUGGCUGGGCCCCGGGCAGCAGGGGCGAGAACGAUGGAAAGCACGUGCUCGAAAGCCUGGGUGGAGAGGGAAAGACCAGCUGGGCCACAGGGAGAGGGGAUAGAGUUAGGGAAGGAGAGAAGAAUGGCUGGCUUUUUGCCUUGUUUCGGUUUUAUUCAUUUACUGAUUGGAGGGAGACCUGCAGGUAAAACACAGCCUUGAAGAGCUAGGGGAGCGGGGAGAGCACCUUGGGAGAGACUCAGAGCCUGCCUCGUUCCCUCACCGCCAUCUAGCCUGGCUGUGGCACAGCUUCCAGCUCUUCCAGCUCAGGGCUGCCCUAGGCAACAGCAGGCACGACACAGGGCUGUGGGGUCAGCCAGGUCACCAUGGACAUGAGGACCCUGCCCAUAGCAUGGUGCACCGAAGGGCAUGCACCAGGUGCCCAGUGAAGACACGCUGAACAGAGAAGAGGUGAAUGAACAAGGCCUUAUGAAAGUGCUGUGUGCCUCCAACUCCAGAGCACUGUGGAACAGCUUACAGCGCCCGGCCCUGCUCCACCGCUGGGAUGCCAAACAGCCCUCAAGACAGGCAGCUGAGAGGGGCUCGCAAGAGUACUUAAAGCAGGGCUUACCCAAACACAGUCAAGCCCAAAGCCCAUGAAAGAAAAGUGGAAUUCUCCUCAGCGAAGUUACGUUCAACCAGCCUGGAUUGGUGGCUCACGCCUGUAAUCCCAGCACUCUGGGAGGCUGAGGCAGAAGGAUGGCCUGAAGCCAGGAGUUCAAGAUCAGCCUGGGCAACAUAGGGAGACCCCAUCACUACAAAAACAAUUGUUUUAGAUUAGUCAUGUGUGGUGGCAUGUAUCCGUGGUGCCAGCUACUCGAGAGGCUGAGGUGGGAGGAUUGCUUGAGCCCUGGAGGUAGAAGCUGCAGCCGCAGUGAGCCACAAUUGUGCCACUGCACUGCAACCUGGGCGACAGAGACCCUGUCUCAAAACAAGUUACUUUCAAUGAAAAAAAACCAACCAAACAAACAAACAAAAUACCCAACACCCUGACACUCCCUUACAAUGCGGUUUGAGCAGAUGAGGAAACAGCUGCUGUUCCGAGUGUGGCGUGGCCGGUCAGAUCAUAAGUCGCAAAGGAUCCUGUAGGGCCACCGGGCCCCUCACCCCUCAGGAAAGGGGUGCGACCUCUGGAAAGGCAGUUCCCAAACCCCCCUGUGGACAGCUACCACCACUAACGCUUGUUUCUCUAGAGGAAAAAUGUCUCCCAGGCUAAAUUUCAAUCAGCUUUGCAGAGCCCACAAGUGAAGCUCCAGGUUGAGCAAAGAGCCCAGCCGAGUCGAGAUCCCCACAGAGAAAAGUUACCGAGAAAGCUGAGUGUAGUGCAGACCACUGUGGAGGACACAGUGUCCCACUGUGCCAACGUCAAAGGUGCACACUGUGGCUGCGGGUCAUUGUUUCUAAAUGCACGUGGAUGUCUUACGGUUUAUAACACUUGUCAAAAAUGUCCCCAGUGCACACGACUUCCCCUCUUCCAAGCUUCACAUCCUUCCUUUACUAAACUUAGGAAGGCCAUUUCUCAGAACUAAGUCAACAACAGCCAAUAAUAAGCCAUUAGUUUUUCCCCCAGAAAUAACGUCCCCUUUUCUUCAUCUGGUGUCCAGCUCCUAGCACAAUGACCUGCUCCUGAGACAUUAGCUUAAAUCUCGAGGUGCUGACUGCUCCGCCUGCAUUUAUAGCAAGAAAAGUUCUGACCACACAUACAGGUACGAUAUCUAAGGACUGAUUUAUCAUUGAGAGUGUUGACAGAAU